UACAGAGGGUGCAAGCGUUGCUCGGAUUUACUGGGCGUAAAGCGUACGCAGACGGUCUAGCAAGUCGGGAGUGAAAGCCCUGGGCUCAACCUGGGAACUGCUUUCGAUACUACUAGUACUUGAGUUUGGGAGAGGAAAGCGGAAUUCCUGGUGUAGAGGUGAAAUUCGUAGAUAUCAGGAGGAACACCAGCGGCGAAGGCGGCUUUCUGGCCCAAUACUGACGUUCAGGUACGAAAGCGUGGGUAGCAAACAGG
rnacentral:rRNA from 1 species